CAAUAGCGUAUAUUAAAGUUGUUGCAGUUAAAAAGCUCGUAGUUGGAUUUGUGGCGUACGGUGUGUUCCGGGCACUUGUUGUCUGAGUAACCUGCUGUUGCCCUCCUUGGGUGGAACCUGUGUGGCAUUAGGUUGUCGUGCAGGGGAUGCCCAUCAUUUACUGUGAAAAAAUUAGAGUGUUCAAAGCAGGCUUAUGCCGUUGAAUAUAUUAGCAUGGAAUAAUGAGAUAGGACUUUUUUGCUAUUUUGUUGGUUUGCGCAAAGAGGUAAUGAUUAAUAGGGACAGUUGGGGGUAUUCGUAUUCCAUUGUCAGAGGUGAAAUUCUUGGAUUUCUGGAAGACGAACUACUGCGAAAGCAUUUACCAAGGAUGUUUUCAUUAA
rnacentral:rRNA from 1 species